CAGCCGCCACGGUAAUACGAAGGGGGCUAGCGUUGUUCGGAUUUACUGGGCGUAAAGCGCACGUAGGCGGAUCCUUAAGUCAGAGGUGAAAUCCCAAGGCUCAACCUUGGAACUGCCUUUGAUACUGGGGAUCUCGAGUUCGGGAGAGGUGAGUGGAAUUUCCGGUGUAGCGGUGAAAUGCGUAGAUAUCGGAAGGAACACCUGUGGCGAAAGCGGCUCACUGGACCAUUUCUGACGCUGAUGCACGAAAGCUAGGGGAGCAAACAGGAUUAGAGACCCCCGUAGUCCCUGUCUCUUAUAA
rnacentral:rRNA from 1 species